GGGGGGGUGGUCACAGGCGUGCGCUGCCAACAAGUCUCAAACAAGUCAAAGGUAGGCUAUUCAAUCAAGUCAUCACUACUCAUAAAAAAUCCAGAAAACAACCUAAGUGAUUUUUUUUAUCUUAAAAAUGGAAACGUGGCAGAAUGUACAACAGUAGAAGUUUGGUAAAUCAUCAGCACAUUAUGUGAAUUGCUUACUUUUCGGGUGUCCGCACAUCAUA
rnacentral:misc_RNA from 1 species